UGGGCGUAAAGGGCUCGCAGGCGGUUUCUUAAGUCUGAUGUGAAAGCCCCCGGCUCAACCGGGGAGGGUCAUUGGAAACUGGGAAACUUGAGUGCAGAAGAGGAGAGUGGAAUUCCACGUGUAGCGGUGAAAUGCGUAGAGAUGUGGAGGAACACCAGUGGCGAAGGCGACUCUCUGGUCUGUAACUGACGCUGAGGAGCGAAAGCGUGGGGAGCGAACAGGAUUAGAUACCCUGGUAGUCCACGCCGUAAACGAUGAGUGCUAAGUGUUAGGGGGUUUCCGCCCCUUAGUGCUGCAGCUAACGCAUUAAGCACUCCGCCUGGGGAGUACGGUCGCAAGACUGAAACUCAAAGGAAUUGACGGGGGCCCGCACAAGCGGUGGAGCAUGUGGUUUAAUUCGAAGCAACGCGAAGAACCUUACCAGGUCUUGACAUCCUCUGACAACCCUAGAGAUAGGGCUUUCCCUUCGGGGACAGAGUGACAGGUGGUGCAUGGUUGUCGUCAGCUCGUGUCGUGAGAUGUUGGGUUAAGUCCCGCAACGAGCGCAACCCUUGAUCUUAGUUGCCAGCAUUCAGUUGGGCACUCUAAGGUGACUGCCGGUGACAAACCGGAGGAAGGUGGGGAUGACGUCAAAUCAUCAUGCCCCUUAUGACCUGGGCUACACACGUGCUACAAUGGACAGAACAAAGGGCUGCGAGACCG
rnacentral:rRNA from 1 species